rnacentral:ncRNA from 2 species
CGCCUGGAUCUUCCGAGCCUUCCUCCUACGUCCAGAGGGAUAGGGAGGGUGGCCGAUACGGUGUGGUUGGAAACGACCACGCCCCCCAUGCUUGGAAAGGAGGUCCACCAGGAGGAUU